CUCCAAAUGACAUCAUCAGCUAAAAAUGACAGCGCCAUUUCUGGGAUAUUUUGGCUUUAUUUUUCUCUAGUGGAAGGAAAUAAAGACACGUCGUCUGACUAAUCAGUCCAUUCAUCGUCUUUGCUGCUUCUAUUAAGACUAUCCCAUGCAGCAUGUCAGGCUGAAGGCAGGGCAGAGCUGCUUUUGGUUUAAUCAGAGUUUAUGUGGUGAGUGUCUCCCUCUGGCGGCGGCGGCUGCUGUGGCGCAGGAAAUGGCGAAGGGGAGCUGAAUGUGAAUAGCAUCAUCUCCAGACUCCUGGAAGGUAACCGAGCUCCUUCACGAGCUCCUGGCAGACGUUAUUUAAGGCUCGAGCGUCGCUCAGGCCGCGGAAGAGCUGAUCAUUCACGCGCUGUUCUUCUCUGUCAGCUGCGGUGUGUUUAGAUGCUGGAUGUGUGUUUCUGUCACACUGAGCUGACAGAAGAGUUCCUGAAAUUAUUCUGAAACCAUCAGUAUGAACAAAUUGUAUGAAAAUUAAAAAUGCAAUUUCCCAGUUGCUUCAUUUGUUUAUUUCUGUAUUUAUCGUUUAUAUAUGUGGUUAUGAAUGUGAACAUCUGAUUAAAAACUUAAUCAACUGCACAGACCUGCUGAAGACUGCAUGAAUAUCCUCCAGUUCUUUUAUAUCUGGACAUAUCAGCUUGAUUUGUGUGUGCGUGCGUGUGCGUGCAGUGUGAGGAUGUCGUCUCAGGAAGAAGGUGCAGAUGGCGGAGGUGUAGGUGCGAGGGCUGUGCAUCAAGUCUCGUCAGCUGAUCCUGCUGAAGAUCUGCGGUCGGUCUCAUUCACACGUGUUCAGCAGUGUUCAGGGUUUGGUUCAGUCCAUGUCAGUACGGAGUCCCAGCUGUUUUAUUUUGACACACAGAGGCAGGGAGAUACUGUAGAUGAGAUGAAUCUCAUGAAACCUGUGAAAUGUUAUUUAUUUUUAGUGUUAGUUUUUUUGACAUUUAACCCCCCUAGUUCUCAUUACUGUAAUGUGACAGUCUCACCACACAUGAGAUCUGAUC